rnacentral:rRNA from 1 species
UACGAAGGGAGCUAGCGUUGUUCGGAAUCACUGGGCGUAAAGCGCACGUAGGCGGAUUUGCCAGUCAGGGGUGAAAUCCCGGGGCUCAACCUCGGAACUGCCUUUGAUACAGCAAGUCUUGAGUUCGAGAGAGGUGGGUGGAAUUCCUAGUGUAGAGGUGAAAUUCGUAGAUACUAGGAAGAACACCGGUGGCGAAGGCGGCCCACUGGCUCGACACUGACGCUGAGGUGCGAAAGCGUGGGGAGCAAACAGG